UCAUAUUCCUCUUAAUAAAUGUUCAUAAAUUUCUCUAUUUUUAGGCCCAAAAAUGAACAAUCAAAUCCAUCCACGUCCUUUUCCCCAAAUCCAAAACCCAUCUUCCCAUGGCAACAUCACCGACAAACCCAGAACAACACGAACCGGCGCGACUCAAAUCUCUCGCUCAAACAAACUCCAAAACCGCUCUUAAAUACCCCAAACCACAGUUACAAGAAACCUCAGAGUUAGUUAACUCUCUCAACAUUCUAACUGCUCCCGAUUUCUACGCCGUUCUCGACGUCGAACCCACCGCCGAUUCCAACACUAUUCGCAAACAGUAUAACAAACUCUCUUCUCUUUUUCAUCCGGACAAUAACCGCCGCCACGUGGCAUCGUGUAAAGAAGCUUUUAAGCUUGUUAACGACGCGUUUGGUGUUCUCUCUGAUAAAGCUCUCAGAGAAAGCUACGACGGGAAGGUUGAUCUUGAGAUUAGAGAGAAGAUGAGGACUUUUUGGACUGCGUGUUCUACUUGUAGGGUUUUGCAUCAGUUUGAGAGAAGGUAUUUGGGUCAUAAGCUUGUGUGUCCUGGUUGUAAUAAGAGUUUUAAGGCUGUUGAAGCUGUUGAGAAUGAUGGGUCUGAGGAGGAUGAAGAGGAUAACACUUUGGGGGAGUUUAUGUUGAAGAAUAAGAAGAGGAAGAAGAAUGGGAAAAUGGGUUGUGAAAAAGGUGAGAGCUUUAAGGGUAAUGGGAAAAUGGGUUGUGAAAAAGGUGAGAGCUUUAUGGGUGAUGGUGAAGUGAGUGGUGAAAAAGGUGUGAGCUUUAAGGGUGAUGGUGAAGUGGGUGUUGUUGGGAGAAUGGGAAUGAGAACGAGGAAGAGAACGCGAUUGGUUGGGGAGGUUUUGGAGAGUUCUGAAUCCAAGAAGGUUGAUGUGAGUGAAGAGGAAACAAUGACAUUGGCUGAUUUUCAAUCGAAAGUGAAGACUAAGAUUAAGGUUGAGAAAGAGAAAAUGAAGGGAUUGGAAAUUGGAAAGGGUUUUGAAGUCAAGGAGAAGAAGGAUGAGAGUUCUGUGAAGAGAAAUGAGUUGAGACUUGAGAAGCAUAAGGAUUUUAGUGGAGAGGAAUUACAAGCUAUGGCGGUUGCGGAUUCGGAUUUUUAUGAUUUUGAUAAAGAUAGAGUGGUGAGGAGUUUUAAGAAAGGUCAAGUUUGGGCUGUGUAUGAUGGUGAUGAUGAUGGAAUGCCGAGGCAGUAUGCUUUGAUUGAUGAAACUGUUUCUGCGAAUCCUUUCCAAGUGAGGAUAAGUUGGUUGGAUUUACAGAACAACGGGGAUGAAAAGAUUGUUAGCAGGGAGAAAUUAGGGUUUCAUGUACCUUGUGGGAGGUUUAAAAUUGCUAAUAAGACUACAAUUAGUUCUGUAAAUGUUUUUUCUCAUGUUGUGGACUGUGAUCGAGCAGCGCGCGAGAUUUACAAGAUUUAUCCUAAGAAGGGUUCGGUUUGGGCGCUUUAUAGUGAGGCGAGUCUUGAUGGAGGUGAGGGCAAAAGAUGCUAUGAUAUUGUUGUGUUUUUGACGAGUUAUAGUGAGAUGAAUGGUAUGAGCAUGGCAUUUCUUGAGAAGGUUGAUGGUUACAAGACAGUGUUUAAAAGACAUGAGAGUGGAAGCUAUGCUGUUAGAUUUCUAGGUAAGGAUGAAUUUUGGUUACUUUCUCAUCAGAUUCCUGCGCAGAAAUUACCCUGCGACGAAGCUCCUGAAUUGUUGAAAGAUUGUUGGGAGCUUGAUCCGGCUUCACUUCCUUCGGAUUUACUGACUAUUGGUGGAAUAGAUAAUUGAGCCUGGAUGUGCCUUCUCCACUGCAAUUCCAGUGCUUAGGAUUGGUAUGAAUAAGGGUUAACACACUGUCUUCUUCCGAGUCACACCUAACAGGACCAACUUCUUUAUAACCAUUUUACAGUGACAUUUGCUUGCAAAGACUGGAUUGUGGUAAGUUGAGUUAUAAUCUACUAUGUGUUGCUUUGUCAAUUAUGUAAAUAAAUAAUUAUGUUUCAGCUCAAGUAGAUGUAUUUGCAUGUUUUCUUCGGUCAUUAGAGUUUGUGGAACAGUGAGAACGUCGAAGGCGGCGACAAGGUUGACCACGAUGGUCAUUGUGGUGGUGCUGAUAAAUAAAAGGAUGGUGGGGGUGACAUAAGAGUACAACGACAACAAUCCUGAUGCAUUCUAAUCUAUAAAGUGCCGAUGCAAUUUAGACAUACAAAAGAAAUAAAGGAUGCCAUAACUCAACCUUCUACUAGAGGCGACCUAUUAAUGUUGUUAUGUUGGGUAGACAUGUUUGAGAAUCUUGACAAGUUACGGGUUCAGUUAUUAUUAGCUAGAUAUAAUUAUGUAGCAUGCAUCCUAGAGGCGAAUAAUCACCAAGGAGCAUCAUAUACAUGUCGUUAUGUUGCUAAAGCAAUUAAGGCUCUCAAGUCGAGUUUUAUCGCCAGAGUAGGGAGAGGAGACAUUUUCAUUUGGUAUGAUAAAUGACUUCCAAAUGGUAGAAUUUGUGACAAAUUUUUUUCAGUGAGUGAGUAGGAUAGACACCUAUAUAUCAUGAAUGUCUGAAGUUAUGGUAUUUGGAAUUUUGACAUCAUCUCCACCAAUCUUUCUUAGGACAUAAGAAUUGAGAUGACUGUUGUCUUUACUAAUGACGACUUAAAUGAUAUUCUUAUUUGGGAACCUUCAAUAUCAAGUACUGAUUCUACCAAAUAAGUUUAUUCUUGGUUAAAUUUGGAGUCCAAUCCACAUCAUAUUCAAAUAAUGACUUGGUCUUGGAUUUGGAACCUUAAGUUACCAGAAAUAUUCGUCAUUUUGUUUGGAUGCAUGAGAAGUUUACCUACCAAUUAUACAUGAGUCACUAAUCACAUGUCAACAAAUGUCUUUUAUUAUAGAGGUGGUGCAACUAACAAAACUAUCUUACACACUUUUAGAGAUUGCUUUAAGACCAUGCAAGUUUGGAACAAUUACAAUUUUCCAUCUUACAUUCAUUUUUAUGAGGAUGAUAUUUAUAAUUGGAUGAAAAUUAAUGCGUUCAUCAAUCAUGGCCCUUUCUUUCUCAUUUGUUGUUGGAUGAUUUGGAAAUUUCGUAACGAAGAAUUCUUCAUAGACAACAAUCGUCAGUUCUAGAAUAUCCUUAGCCAAAUAACUUCUCUUUUACACUCUACCAAACAUGCUUUUGGUGGUUCUAAUAAGAUAUCAUUCCUUAAACUUGUGUCUUGGCACCCUCCUUCAAAGAAUGUGAUAAAGGUCAAUAUAGGUGGUAGUUCCAUUGGUAAUUCAGGGCCAUAUGAUUUUGUUGGUCUUUUGAAAAACUCUUCUGGAGGUUGGAUCACAUGUUUUGCAGGAAUUUGUGGCUUCACCUCUAAUAUUAAUGUCGAGCUUCAAGUCAUUUAUCUUGGUCUUGAUAUUGCUUGAAAUUAUGGUUUCAGAAAUGUGAUUUGCGAGUUUGACUCUUAAACAACUCUGAAGUUUAUUCAAGAGGAUGUGCCUUCUAAUUAUUCUUAUGCGCCUCUGGUGGAUUAUGUACAAUCUCUUAUUCAUGAAAGGUGACAACUUGUCCUUAUUCACACCUUACGCGAAGGGAAUGUUAGUGUUGACCAUAGGCAUCUUUAGGUCUUUCGGCACUAUGAUUUGACCAUAGGCAACUAAAAGAUAAAAAAUUUCAUCACAUUUGGUUACAUCGAAAGUAUAAGUUUUUGUAAUAAACUUUUCAUUUAUACUUGGUUCAACAAGGUUUUUCCCAAUCGAAGAGCUUACAAACAUACAGAAGUCAUGACUUCAAUUCCACCAGAUUAAUCUCAUUUUCUUCGAUGUAUUAAAAAACUACGUUGAGUUCUUGAUUAUUAUCAUUUGCCUCUAUAUCAUAAAUAUUUUCUUUCUAUGGGGUUUGAUUUAUUCUAGCCUUUUCUAAUCAAGCCUUUCGUCCUCCGGGUGUUCGACUUGUCUAACCCUAUAUGUUAACUGGGCCAUAUCCUUUCGGCACUAGGUAUCUAACUUCUUCCUAGUGGAAUAACCUAUGUGAUCAGUGGUUUUUACACAUUAAUUUACCGUUGUUUUAAGUUGUCUUUGAUUUAUUUCAUUUAGUGUUUUAUUGCAUUAUUCGUCAUUUUAUGCUUUGGUUUUGUGUUUAAGUGUUUGUAUGCUCAGAUGAAUGAUUUGGGAGAAAUCAGGGCGAAAAAGUGCAAAACUGAAGAAAAGUGCAUAAACUGGCAAAACGCGUUCCCAAACGCAUGUGGAAGAAGAAAAAUGCAAUCAGCUGCCAAAACGCGUCCCUAGAUGCGUUUAGAAGUGAAAAGUGCCAUCUGCUGCUGAGACGCGUCCCUGACUGUGCAUGCAUGCCAGACGUGUCCCUCAGCUCAGACGCGUCCUAAAAGUAAAGAAAAAUAAAGGAAAAAUGCCUGUCUGCCCAGACGCGUCCCAUUGGCCUAAAUGCGUCCCCACACGCGUGUGCACGUGAUGCCAGGAGCGCUGAAAUAAAAGAAGAAAAAUACGUUGGGACAAGGGUUGGACAAUUUUGGAGAGCAAAAACACAGUAGAAGGCUGGAGAACUCAUAAUUUAUGUAGGGAGUGAAGAUUUCCAUGAGCUUUUGCCAUUGAAGAUCUAAGUUCAUUCAUUUAUCUGUAAUGUCUACAAUUCAAACUAUGGUUUCUGUUAAUUUUA